UAUGGAUAAUUCGUUGUCUGGUUUAGCACAACUCCCUACCUUCCAAUAAAUGUCGGCCGCAAAUAGGUUUAUACCAUCCGAUUAUCAAAUAAGGUUGAGUGAGUUAUUACUAAGUUGGCAUUUUGAAUUAUCUAUUGCGUGUCAUAAAUUGUUACUUCCAAGAGAAUGAUGAUGACGAUAAAUUGUUUUAUGUAAGUUACUCUUUUCCCGUAGGAUAUGAUUUGAGUACAGUUAGAGCAGUGGUUUGGUCAGGGCUGUCGUGCCCCAGAAUCUUGCCGGUAUCCUAACCGACAGAUCAGACCACAAAAAGGAACCCAGAUCCAACGGCCCAAAAACACCCCGUUAUUUAUGGAAAAAAAAUCUGUCAGUUUUCAUUAUCCACAACAAUUAGCCACUCUCAGUACUAUCAUUAAUUCCACUCCCGUUUUCAAUAUCGCCACUCUUAUCUCUCCCAGCUCUGAGCUCCUCCAAUGGCCACCGUCCUCCGAAAUCCACCUUUACGAGCACCGUUAGCACCGCUUCCCGCCACCGUUUCGCCGAACCCUCCGAAAACUUCAUACGUUUCGUGCAGACAAGGCUCGAUCAGCACGCCGCCGUUUCUCACUCUCAGCUCUCUACGGUCAUCUCACUCGCCGUCCGUACGGUUCCUCAAGUUCGCGCCUUUAGCUUCCCUCCAUGAGACCCUAAGUGCCGAGACGGCGGAGGAGCUUCGAGAGCUCAAUGAGGUCGAGAUGUAUGCAGAGAUACUCGGUGGAGAACUAGCAGUGGAAACUCCUGCCUCAACAGUUUUGGAGAAAAUUUGUGGGAUCCUUUUGGUUACCAAGGAUAUUAAAUUCAUGAAGAGGCCAUUUGCAUGGGUAUCUGCAUUCUUAGUUGGACAAAGCUUAUGGCUGAUUUCUACUCCAAUGGCACAAUCACGUGAUAUUAUCAAACCAAACGCAAUUUAUGAGACAGCGGAGUUAUUUGAAUUAGGAAUCCAGCUAUCAUACUUGCUACUAUUGCUAGGUUUUCUUGGGGUUGGAACUUUCUUUGUGAUUCGUCAAGUGCUUGUACGUAGAGAACUUGAUCUUUCUGCCAAAGAAUUGCAGGAGCAAGUAAGAAGCUGGCGAUGCUGAUGCGACUGAGCUUUUUGAACUUGGAGCAGUAAUGCUAAGGAGGAAAAUUUAUCCAGCUGCUAUUAAGUACUUGGUUCAGGCAAUUGAGAAAUGGGAUGGGGACGACCAAGAUCUUGCUCAGGUUUACAAUGCCCUUGGUGUCAGUUACGUUCGUGAGGGUAAACUUGCUAAGGGAAUUACGCAGUUUGAAACUGCUGUGAAGCUUCAGCCAGGCUACGUCACAGCUUGGAACAACCUAGGUGAUGCGUAUGAAAAGAGGAAAGACUUUAAGGCUGCAUUGAAGGCAUUUGAAGAAGUUCUUCUGUUUGAUCCAAAUAACAAGGUAGCAAUACCGCGGCGGGAAACUUUGAUGGAACAAGUGAAAAUGUACAGAGAUGUUCCGGUAAAAACGAAGGAGAAGUCAUCUGACAGUAUGCGUUGACGGGAUUUUAUCAGCAACAGCUUAUGUAAGUUUUGCUUGGCUUUCUCAAAACAGUCGAUGGUUGUUGAGGUAUCAUUUGGUUUUUCCAUGGUCCAAGAUUUAGGCCUGACUUCUGUAGUCACAUUUUGUAUUGCCUAGCAUCGAAGUCUGUAAUUUUAUUCCGGAAACUUGAUUCGUAUGUAGGCGAGUAACGUUCUUUGUAUUGUAAGUGUUACAAAUAUAUUUUACAGACGGUUGUGCAGUUCAUAAAAUCGUGUUUACUGAUUAGCUAAAUAAAUCUGAUGAGGAUUACGGAA